GACGAACCGUGCGAACGUUGUUCGGAUUCACUGGGCUUAAAGGGCGCGUAGGCGGGCCACCAAGUCAGGGGUGAAAUCUUUCGGCUCAACCGGAAAAGUGCCUUUGAUACUGGUGGUCUCGAGGGAGGUAGGGGCGUGCGGAACUUCCGGUGGAGCGGUGAAAUGCGUAGAUAUCGGAAGGAACGCCGGUGGCGAAAGCGGCGCGCUGGACCUCUUCUGACGCUGAGGCGCGAAAGCGUGGGGAUCAAACAGG
rnacentral:rRNA from 1 species